rnacentral:rRNA from 1 species
GCAGUCGAGCGGACUUUAAAGCUUGCUUUUAAAGUUAGCGGCGGACGGGUGAGUAACACGCGGGCAACCUGCCUGUAAGACUGGGAUAACUUCGGGAAACCGGAUCUAAUACCGGAUAAUCCUUUUCCUCUCAUGAGGAAAAGCUGAAAGACGGUUUACGCUGUCACUUACAGAUGGGCCCGCGGCGCAUUAGCUAGUUGGUGAGGUAACGGCUCACCAAGGCGACGAUGCGUAGCCGACCUGAGAGGUGAUCGGCCACACUGGGACUGAGACCCGCCCAGACUCCUCCGGGAGGCAGCACUAGGGAUCUUCCGCAU